GCUUCGCAAGCUCGAUCCCAUCGAGGGGCAGGGAGACGCUGUUGUAGGAUGGUUGGAUGGGGGCGCCACCCUCGGGGGACGACGAGGCGAUCGGUGCCGAGAAGCCCGUCGACCGCCUCGCCGGCGGCGAGAGGGAGGCCCUCGCGGAUCGAUCGCCGAACUUUCGCUUGUUGUCGGGUCGAGAAGAGCAGCGGAGCUCCUCCGCCAUGGAAGCGGCCUCCGUCGGCAGUGCAGAGCGGCUGAGAGAGGGAGAGGUGACUCGCGAAUGAAAGCUGAUA
rnacentral:lncRNA from 1 species